rnacentral:lncRNA from 1 species
AAGCCCUUUCUGUUCUACUCAGAAUACGUCAUUUAUUUCGGAGCAGAAAAUGUCGUUUUCUGUGCAAAACAACCAUAUGUAUUUUAAAUUUAACAUAAUAAGUAAAUUGGUUCUCAGAGUUAUUUGCAGUAAGAGUAAAACUUCUAAAAUUUCACAACAAGUAAUGCAAAUCCUUAAUUAAUUUUAGCAAUUGUUAUGUUACUUAUACAUGCUAUAAUAAGGAGGUAACAUUAUACAGUAAAUGCCAGAAUACACAAACUGUUAUAUGGUAAGGAAUUUUGUGAAGAGAAAACUAUAUCCUAACUAUACAAACUCCUUGAAAUAGUCCCAGAGAAAGGUCAAAUACAGGUCUGUAAGGGCCUUUCCACACAGGCAUAUAACCCAGAAUAUCAAGACAGAUAAUCAACAAUAUCUGCUUUGAACUGGAAUAUCUGAGUUCACACCGUCAUAUAAUCCAGUUAAAUGUGGAUUUUAUAAAGUUGUGUGGAAGGGCCCUAAGUCUGCCCUGAAGGCCAUUUAUAUGCCUGUGAAAAAUCCAUCAAGAAAAAUGACUGCUAGUAAUGUUUUUGUCAGUUGUAGCCUUCCAAACAGGUAAGUUUAUAAAGUUACUUUGAAAAAAAUAUAUUAAUAAAACAUUUGAAACAUGCACUACUGCAUAAUUCUUGCUACAGUAAAGAAAGUUUACUAGAAUAGUUACAGACCUAGUCAUUUUCAAGCUAAUUCUACUCUGUCCUAUGCCUGAAGCUCAGAGGUAGUGAGUUAUAUGUGACAAGAGGCCACCAGUUUCUCCAUGUUAGGACAGAACAUGGAGAAACUGAGAAGAUUCAAAUUGGCAUAUUAAUCCCACAAUAGUUCUAUCAGCCCAAUUCAUAGUUCCCAAAGUCAAUUCUUAUCAACCCAACAGCAUAGUCAGUUAUGAGGAAUGCUGGGAGCUGUGGUCCAACAACAUCUGGGGGACCAUACUAAGUCAGUCUCUAUGUUAGCGGGAAGUUGAUGCCAUAGUGAACCAAGUACUCUUUCUUCUACUACUCUCUAACUACACAUAAUUCUUUCUUUUUCUUGAUCCAUCUUUAUGCUUUAAAUUUUUAUUUCAAUAAAUACAAUAAAAACCACCAGUAGAGUCCCAUCUCUCCUAAUA